UGAUAUCAAAUUAUGAACCCUAAAUUUAGAAAUUUCUUAUUCUUCAGACAUCAAUUCCUCUUUUCAGUCCAAAAUCAGACUAUGAAAUAGAAAUCAAAGAUUUGGAGGAGAAAAAUAUGAAAAUUCUUACUGGCUUUGGCAUAUCCUAAAUCCAUUUCUUAUGCAACCAAACAUCAGCUUCCAUCAAAUUAAAAGUAUUAUCAAACAAUUCAAGAAGGGUUUAAUUUUAUGAACACAUCAAUUCCCUCAUUUCAUUUCACGCCAUGAUUGUGCUAAGAAUGGAACUUCCAUGUCAGAUAUUAUAGAGACUUUGAUGAAUAAAUGAGAUUUUGUAAAAGAGAUUUUGUUUAACAGAAGAAGAAAUUUGUUAAUUGUAG
rnacentral:lncRNA from 1 species